GUCUACGGCCAUGCCCCACUGAACAAGCCUGAUCUCUGAUCUUGGAAGCUAAGCGGGGUCAGGCCUGGUUAGUACUUGGAUGAGAGACCACCUAGGAAGACCAGGUGCUGUCGGCA
rnacentral:rRNA from 1 species